CCUGCUGCCCUGCUUGUUCUGCGGGUGUGUGUCAGCCAUUAGAACCCUCCCUGCCGUUUAGAAGUGCAGAUAACAGCACUGAUCGCCUGCCUUGGGGAGAGCUCGCUAAUGACCAUUUCGAAGCACUUUGCGGGCAGUGUUCCGCAGAGGCUGGCUGGGGAAGGGAGGGGCCCCUCCUCCUCCCAGGCAGGGACUCUACCCUGGUCUAGACCUCAGCCUCUCUGCAGCCACCCUUCCACCUCCCUCCACUGGAGACUGGCCUCACAAACAAAAUAUGCAGAAGAAUCUGGAAGAUUGGUAGGAUGUGUAAAAAGUGUUAGCAACGCACCAAGCCCCAGUGACUAGAAGCUGGGGAAACUGGCAAAGACAGAGUCUCCAUGAGGAGACCAAGAAGGAAUCUGCUCUGGGCUGGGGGUGUGUGGUGUAACCUUAACUCACAAAGGAAGGCAGGGGCAGGGCAGAGCACAGGCCAUGUUACUUCACAUGGUAGCAUAAAGGGCUUAAGGAGGAAAUUGAAACCCGAAAUAAGUGAUAAGAAGGCACCAAGCCACAAACAAUUGCAGCCCAGAUAAAUGGCAUCUCAGGGACCUGGAGGCGUUUGCAGAUAUAAUCAUGGCCUUAAAGGAAAUGACAGAGAAUGAAGUGCCAGAAAACUGAAGAUGGAAAAUGUCCUGAUUUCCACAAAGGAUGGGAAGGUAGCUUUUUAAAAAACUCUGAGCGCCUAAGAUUAAUGUUGACCUCUAUUAAAGUUCCAGGAUAAAUGAUCAAACGUGUAGGAGACAAUAAGCAAUCACGCAGCUCAGCAUUUCCUCAGAGGACACCCCGUGCACUUGCAAAGGUGUGCACGAGAACAUUUCAUCACAGUGCGACGCUGGAAACCAUCCAGAUGUCCACAAAUCAAGAAAUCAAAGCUGCUUAGAAUUCCGUUGCAUGGAUGUGCUGGAAAGAAGCAAAAAGCAAGGCUGGCCUGUGCUUGUGAUGCUUUGCGUCCGUGUCCUGGGGUCCCUCAUGUGUUGCUGAAGCCGUUCCCCUUGACCCUUUCCGAGGUGAACAUGGACGCCCCUCCUGCCAGCUCUGUGCAGGUGUCUUAGCUGGUGUCCAGGGUUGGUCACUUUUCCCCAAAGUACUACAACAGGACUUCAUGCCUGAGCAGCUGCAGAAUGUGCCCUGAAGAGCCCGCAUCAGUACCUGCAGAAAACACGGCGUGGCCCGGUCUAUGUGGCUCAGCAGUUGAACAUUGACCCAGGAGGUCACAG